rnacentral:rRNA from 2 species
GGAUGCGAUCAUCCCACCCCUAAAGCACCGGAUCCCAUCAGAACUCGGAAUUUAAGCGUGCUUGGCCGAGAGUAGUCCUGGGAUGGGUGCCCUCCUGGGAAGUCUUCGUGUGGCAUUCC